GACGAACGCUGGCGGCGUGCCUAAUACAUGCAAGUAGAACGCUGAAGGAGGAGCUUGCUUCUCUGGAUGAGUUGCGAACGGGUGAGUAACGCGUAGGUAACCUGCCUGGUAGCGGGGGAUAACUAUUGGAAACGAUAGCUAAUACCGCAUAAUAGUAGAUGUUGCAUGACAUUUACUUAAAAGGUGCAAUUGCAUCACUACCAGAUGGACCUGCGUUGUAUUAGCUAGUUGGUGGGGUAACGGCUCACCAAGGCGACGAUACAUAGCCGACCUGAGAGGGUGAUCGGCCACACUGGGACUGAGACACAGCCCAGACUCCUACGGGAGGCAGCAGUAGGGAAUCUUCGGCAAUGGACGAAAGUCUGACCGAGCAACGCCGCGUGAGUGAAGAAGGUUUUCGGAUCGUAAAGCUCUGUUGUAAGAGAAGAACGAGUGUGAGAGUGGAAAGUUCACGCUGUGACGGUAUCUUACCAGAAAGGGACGGCUAACUACGUG
rnacentral:rRNA from 1 species